rnacentral:ncRNA from 1 species
ACGUGGACAGUAGUUGAAUGUGGUCAGUCGAUCCUAAGAUAAUGGCUUAUGCUUGUAUCAUUAAGAGAAAAAAGUUUCUAUCUUUUUUUUUUAGAUAUCGAAUGGGAAUAGGGUUAAUAUUCCCUAACGUAGACACAGAGAUUAUGAUUCGUAUGAAUCAUUUGCGCGGUAACGCAUUCGAACUUGGUGAACGUCGCUCAAAAACCGAGCUAGAGUUUUCUUCUCUAGUCAAGGAACGGACUCCCUGGAAUCGGUUCAGCCGUAGAUAGGGGCGGUGUUUCCGUAAAAUUUUCUGUGAUAUCUCGUGUUUUUUGGACGAUCCAUGAAAAACUAAGUGGGGCUAUUAAUCUGUGCUACAUGAUACCGAUAUUCGCAUCAGCUUUCCAAGGUGAAGAGCCUCUAGUCGAUAGCAUAAUGUAGGUAAGAGAAGUCAGCAAAUUUAACUUUUAACUUUACUUUAACUUUAACGUAACUUCGGAAACAGGAUUGGCUCCAGUGAUCGGAUCGAUUGGCUUGUUAUCUGAUGCUUGUACGGAUUUAUCCAUGACCGAUGUCAAAACGUUAUGUAUACGUGUAUACGUAUACGUAUAUGUGAUGAUGUUGAACUAUUCAUAAGACCGUCUUGCGGACAUUCGUAGCUGUGUGCUUUGUUUUCAAAUUAAGUAUCCUGAUCGACCAUUGUAACGGUCGAACUGGAACUGGUACUGACUCGGGGAGUCCAAUUGUCUAAUUAAAACAGAGGAAACAUGGUCCCUGCGAACGUUCACUGUCUCUGAUUUCUGCCCAGUGCUCUGAAUGUUAAAUCGUAGCAAUUCGAAUAAGUGCAGAUGAAUGGCGGGAGUAACUAUGACUUUCCUAAGGUAGCCAAAUGCCUCGUCAGCUAACUACUGACGCAUAUGAAUGUAUUAACGACAUUCCCACUGUCCCUAACUGCUAUUUAGCCAAACCACAAUUAAGGAAAUGGGCUUAGUAAAAAUAGCGAGGAAAGAAUACCCUAUUGAGCUUGUCUCUAGUUUUGACAUUGUGAAGAAUCAUGAGAGGUGUAGUAUAGGUGGGAGAUUGAUGAUUUUUAUGAUCGAUUGAUCGACAAUGAAAUACCACCACUUUCAUCGAUUCUUUACUUAUUCGGUAAGAAGAGGAUUGAGUUUCGAUUCUUUAUUAUUUGUUUUAAGUACGGUCACCUGGUGACUAUACGACUCUCGCCGAAGACACUGUCAGGCGGGGAGUUUGACUGGGGCGGUACAUCUGUCAAAUUGUAACGCAGGUGUCCUAAGGUUAGCUCAGAGAGGACGGAAACCUCUCGUAGAGUAAAAGGGCAAAAGCUCGCUUGAUCUUGACUUUCAGU